CAAAAAAGUGUUAAUGGCACUUGUAAUCCAUUACCCACCUUGUGUGCAUCGUCGAAGGGGGAAAGAUAGGACGCGUCUCGACGCGUUUUUCUUCCUCUUUUUUUCAUUCACUACUAGUUUUUACAUCUGUCUACACAUCUGAGUCAUAACAAAACUCUAAUA
rnacentral:misc_RNA from 1 species